rnacentral:tRNA from 1 species
GGGCGAGUGGCGGAACUGGUAGACGCGCAGCCUUGAGGAGGCUGUGGCCGUUUAGGCCGUGGAGGUUCAAGUCCUCUCUCGCCCACCA